rnacentral:rRNA from 1 species
ACGCAAUAGAUACCCGGGUAGUCCACGCCCUAAACGAUGUCUACUAGUUGUCGGGUCUUAAUUGACUUGGUAAACGCAGCUAAACGCGUGAAGUAGACCGCCUGGGGAGUACGGUCGCAAGAUUAAAACUCAAAGGAAUUGACGGGGACCCGCACAAGCGGUGGAUGAUGUGGAUUAAUUCGAUGCAACGCGAAAAACCUUACCUACCCUUGACAUGGAUGGAAUCCCUGAGAGAUUGGGGAGUGCUCGAAAGAGAACCAUUACACAGGUGCUGCAUGGCUGUCGUCAGCUCGUGUCGUGAGAUGUUGGGUUAAGUCCCGCAACGAGCGCAACCCUUGUCAUUAGUUGCUACGAAAGGGCACUCUAAUGAGACUGCCGGUGACAAACCGGAGGAAGGUGGGGAUGACGUCAAGUCCUCAUGGCCCUUAUGGGUAGGGCUUCACACGUCAUACAAUGGUACAUACAGAGGGCCGCCAACCCGCGAGGGGAGCUAAUCCCAGAAAGUGUAUCGUAGUCCGGAUUGUAGUCUGCAACUCGACU